rnacentral:rRNA from 1 species
CGCGGUAUUAUGACCGUGCGAAGGUAGCAUAAUCAUUAGUCUUUUAAUUGAGGGCUGGUAUGAAGGGUCGGACAAAAAAUGAGCUGUCUUAAAUUUUGAAAAUUGAAUUUAACUCUUAAGUGAGAAGGCUUAAAUAGGCUAGGGGGACGAUAAGACCCUAUAAAGUUUGACACUAAAUUAAUUAAGGGUGAUUUAGGUAAUAAAGUCUUAUUAUUAUAUAAGUGUUUAGUUGGGGCGACUAGGAUAUAAGUUAUUUAACUGUUUCUUCACUCGAAUCAAAAAUUUUUGAUUUUAUGAUCCUUUUUUAGGAUAUUAGAGUAAAUUACUUUAGGGAUAACAGCGUAAUUUUUUUUGAGAGUUCUUAUCGAUAAAAGAGUUUGCGACCUCGAUGUUGAAUUAAAAUUUCUUUGUAAUGCAGCAGUUACAAGAGAGGGUCUGUUCGACCCUUUAAAUUUUUACAUGAUUUGA